rnacentral:rRNA from 1 species
UACGUAGGGUGCGAGCGUUAAUCGGAAUUACUGGGCGUAAAGCGUGCGCAGGCGGUUUUGUAAGCCCGAUGUGAAAGCCCCGGGCUUAACCUGGGAAUGGCAUUUGGGACUGCAAGGCUGGAGUGUGGCAGAGGAGACUGGAAUUCCUGGUGUAGCAGUGAGAUGCGUAGAUAUCAGGAGGAACACCGAUGGCGAAGGCAGGUCUCUGGGCUGACACUGACGCUCAUGCACGAAAGCGUGGGGAGCAAACAGG